GACGAACGCUGGCGGCGUGCUUAACACAUGCAAGUCGAACGGAAAGGCCCUGCUUUUGUGGGGUGCUCGAGUGGCGAACGGGUGAGUAACACGUGAGUAACCUGCCCUUGACUUUGGGAUAACUUCAGGAAACUGGGGCUAAUACCGGAUAGGAGCUCCUGCUGCAUGGUGGGGGUUGGAAAGUUUCGGCGGUUGGGGAUGGACUCGCGGCUUAUCAGCUUGUUGGUGGGGUAGUGGCUUACCAAGGCUUUGACGGGUAGCCGGCCUGAGAGGGUGACCGGCCACAUUGGGACUGAGAUACGGCCCAGACUCCUACAGGAGGCAGCAGUGGGGAAUAUUGCACAAUGAGCGGAAGCCUGAUGCAGCAACGCCGCGUUCGGAAUGACGGCCUUCGGGUUGUAAACCGCUUUCGCCUGUGACGAAGCGUGAGUGACGGUAAUGGGUAAAGAAGCACCGGCUAACUACGUG
rnacentral:rRNA from 1 species